AGUGAACGCUGGCGGUAGGCCUAACACAUGCAAGUCGAACGGCAGCACAGUAAGAGCUUGCUCUUACGGGUGGCGAGUGGCGGACGGGUGAGGAAUACAUCGGAAUCUACUUUUUCGUGGGGGAUAACGUAGGGAAACUUACGCUAAUACCGCAUACGACCUACGGUUGAAAGCAGGGGAUCUUCGGACCUUUCGCGAUUGAAUGAGCCGAUGUCGGAUUAGCUAGUUGGGGGGGUAAAGGCCCACCAAGGCGACGAUCCGUAGCUGGUGUGAGUGGCUGAUUAGCCACACUGGAACUGGGCCACGGUCCAGACUCCUACGGGAGGCAGCAGUGGGGAAUAUUGGACAAUGGGCGCAAGCCUGAUCCAGCCAUCCCGCGUGGGUGAAGAAGGCCUUCCGGUUGUAAAGCCCUUUUGUUGGGAAAGAAACGCAGCCGGUUAAUACCCCGCUGUUCUGACGGUACCCAAAGAAUAAGCACCGGCUAACUUCGUG
rnacentral:rRNA from 1 species